CAAACUUGGCUUUGAGUAUCCCCUCCUCACAGACACUGCCCUGCCCCCCUUUCCCAACACAACAACCCACAAAGACACUCAGACUGUGACACGCAAACACACACAAAUACAUAUAUACACACUAGCCUACAAUACUAAAUGGUUGAGACACAGCCUGAUCUGUGUCCCAUGUCCCUAUUCCCUGUCCUGGUCCAUGUUUGAGCUUCUGGGUCUGGAAGAUUUAGUGCUAAUAUAGUUAGUAGCAGUAGUAGUACUAGUAUUUGGAGUAGUUUGAAAGUGGUGGUGACGGUGGAGAUGAAUAGUGGUGCUGUAGG
rnacentral:misc_RNA from 1 species